rnacentral:rRNA from 1 species
CCUUAUGUUGGGGGCGACACCGUGCUAAAGGGCUUAUACAUUAAGACGCAUUAUCGCGAGAUGGAGCAAAUCUAAAAAAUAUGUCCCAGUUCGGAUUGGAGUCUGCAACUCGACUCCAUGAAGCCGGAAUCGCUAGUAAUCGUAGAUCAGCCAUGCUACGGUGAAUACGUUCCCGGGUCUUGUACUCACCGCCCGUCACACCAUGGGAGUUGAUUUCACUCGAAGCGGGAAUGCGAAAUUCGCUACCCUCCACAGUGGAAUCAGCGACUGGGGUGAAGUCGUAACAAGGUAACCGUAGGAGAACCUGCGGUUGGAUCACCUCCU